GAUGAACGCUGGCGGUAUGCUUAACACAUGCAAGUCGAACGGACUCUUCGGAGUUAGUGGCGGACGGGUGAGUAACGCGUGAGAAUCUGGCUUUGGGUUCGGGACAACCACUGGAAACGGUGGCUAAUACCGGAUGUGCCGAGAGGUAAAAGAGAAAUUGCCUGAAGAUGAGCUCGCGCCUGAUUAGCUAGUUGGUGAGGUAAAGGCUCACCAAGGCAGCGAUCAGUAGCUGGUCUGAGAGGAUGACCAGCCACACGGGGACUGAGACACGGCCCAGACUCCUACGGGAGGCAGCAGUGGGGAAUUUUCCGCAAUGGGCGAAAGCCUGACGGAGCAAUACCGCGUGAGGGAAGAAGGCUCUUGGGUUGUAAACCUCUUUUCUUAGGGAAGAACAAAAUGACGGUACCUAAGGAAUCAGCAUCGGCUAACUCCGUG
rnacentral:rRNA from 1 species